AAGGAAUCUAUAAAGAAAGAAACAUGGUUAGAGUUAUUUAUUGAUAGUUACAAUGUGAAUAGUAUAAUCAAUAAUGAAUAUUAGUAAUCUAUACGUUACUACUUGAUACUACAAAUUUGGUAUUGACCGGUAAAAGGAGUGCCAUUUUUCAAUACGAAAGACAAACCUUAUUUUAUUGAUGGAAAAUAGAGUACUUGUCGACCUUCUACUAGACAGUCCAGAACGUCUACGAUCUUGCAUCCGGAAAUCAGGGCCGAUCUACUAAUAUUAUUUUAUCACGUGACAUUUUAACACGUACUCUUUUACAAAGUGAUUCACCUGUUCACCCUGCGUUCAGAGACUUUUUCAAAGAAGUUCAUGAACCGUUUGCAGAUGGCUAUAAAAGAAGAGAUAGUCGAUUCUGCUGUACGAGGACCGAUGAUGGACGAAUGAUACU